AUGAUCUAUGGAUCUGGUUGCUUCUUUGAUUUGUCGGGGUCUCUCAAUGAUAUCAAUGUUCUGCAGCGAUCUCAUUUGUUUGCUCAGCUAGCUAGUGGCAAAGCUCCGUCUUGCAACUAUACCGUCAAUGGCCAUGACUAUACCAUGGGGUAUUAUCGUGCCGACGGUAUUUAUCCUUCAUGGUCAACAUUUGUGAAGACCAUUAGUGACCCUAAAAUCAAGAAGCACAUUUUUUUUGCCAAAGCACAAGAAGCUUGCCGAAAGGAUAUUGAGAGGGCAUUUGGUGUGUUGCAAGCUCGGUUUGCCAUUGUUUGA
rnacentral:rRNA from 1 species